rnacentral:rRNA from 1 species
UGGGGAAUAUUGCACAAUGGGCGCAAGCCCGAUGCAGCCAUGCCGCGUGUGUGAAGAAGGCCUUCGGGUUGUAAAGCACUUUCAGCGGGGAGGAAGGCGAUAAGGCUAAUAACCUUGUCGAUUGACGUUACCCGCAGAAGAAGCACCGGCUAACUCCGUGCCAGCAGCCGCGGUAAUACGGAGGGUGCAAGCGUUAAUCGGAAUUACUUGGCGUAAAGCGCACGCAGGCGGUCUGUCAAGUCGGAUGUAAAAUCCCCGGGCUAAACCUGGGACCUGCAUUCGAAACGGGCAGGCUGGAGUCUUGUAGAGGGGGGUAAAAUUCCAGGUGUAGGGGUGAAAUACGUAGAGAUCUGGAGGAAUACCGGUGGCGAAGGCAGCCCCCUGGACGAAGACUGACGCUCAGGUGCGAAAGCGUGGGGAGCAAACAGG